rnacentral:lncRNA from 7 species
AGUGUGCUGGAGUUCAGAGCUGGUGAUCUCACCUGGAACUGCAGAGCAAGAGGACACAGAGCUGGCAGAGUGGGGGCAGCUGUUUCCAGAGGAAGAUGUUUAAAAGGGCUCCAAGUCUUCCAACCAUCAGCUCAGAAUGUUGCAGCGCCCUGCUACUUUUGGAGGAAUGAAAAUUAUUUCAGGACGUUGCAUACUUGGACACAAUACCUGUUACAGAAACAACUGUGGUCUAAGGUUAUGUGAAAGACUACUGCAGGCAUUAUGCCAGAUGGCAUUGGACAAGUGUCAUGAAGGAAUCCUGCUCCAAGGCUGUUCUUGGUGUUUUGGAUUAAGCUCUUACUGAAAAGGGGCUGAAAACAAGACUGCUGGGAGAGCAAAGAACGGACCUUUGAUUUUUUUUUUUUUUUUUUUUAUUUUUGCCUGCUUAAUUCUAACUCAUUUGUCUCUUCUGGAUCCUGAAUUCUGAGAAGAUAACUGCAGAUAAAAGCUCUUCAGGACAUGUGAAUUGUGCUUGCAGUGUCAGUGAACAUUAGCAGAACAUCUGCUGCAGACUGGACUUGAAGUCAAGGAGCCUUUGUGCAUGAAGAUUUUGCCCUUCACUGGCAAUGCAACAAGAGGGUAAACUUCUGCUGGAAUGUAUCUGCCAGAACUGAGCUUCUAAGAAAUUCUCAUUCGCAUCCUCCUGGAGGGGAGCACGCAAGUUUAGCUGCCUACCAUGGAUAAAUCACGAGAAUGCUUCAUGCAGAAGUCUGAAAUGAAGGAAAAAGUGCAUCUUUUGUAUGUAUACGGCUUUACGAUACACUUCAUCUGUCUGCCAAACUCAGAGAGUGGUGAGGUCCAGACACCAGGCCGUGCCAGAGAAGCUGUGGGUGCCCCACCUCUGGAGGUGUUCAAAGCCACAUUGGAGGGGGCCCUGGGCAGCCUGCGCUGGUGGGGGGCAGCCCUGCCCACUGAAGGGGGGAGGGGUUGGAACUGGGUUGGCUAUAGGUCCCUUCUAACCCAAGCCUUUCUAUGAGUCUAUGAUCAUCUCAUUCUCCUCCCCUCAGUAAUGGUUUGUAACACAUCUUUGUCCCAUAUUAAAUAAUUGAGUGAAAAAUAAACCAACUAUGGAUC